rnacentral:lncRNA from 1 species
AGGGAGGCUGGUGGGGGGAGAUCCUGACCCCUUCUAUACUAAUGCGGCCCCUGGAGCCUUCACUUAGAAGACAUCUACCUUGCGACUUCCUUUCUGGCAAGUUAUUAGUUGGGGGUGGGGCAGCACCCCACACGGAGUCUGGGUAAUGUCCGCCAAGGCCCGCCUCGCUCCUCCCAGAGCCGGGCGAGCAGCGUUCCCAUAGCAACCGGCCCGCCCGGGCCCGCUCGAGUUACAAAGAAGACGCGGCCUCCCGCGGGGGCAGCGCCGGGCCGGCGCAGGCGGAGCUCCCAGACCCGGCGGACUCUAAGCCAGCUAGCCAGAUUUUCGUUGCGAGAGCGCUGGGGCCCAGGCCUAGCCUAGGAGGUCCCUGAGUCCCCCACCCGCCCCUUAAUUCUCUGUGAAUCCUGUUUGCAAAGAGGGCUCUUUGCCAACGCCUGUCCUUGGCAGCGUUAGACCAGGCUCGGAGGCAGCGCUGCCUCGUGUUGCCCAAAAGUGGGAGAGAAGACAAAGCACUGAGUGGCCUUCCUGCGCACGGCUGUCAGUUCCGGACCGCCCUCCGUCACUCCUGCAAGAGCCCCACCCUGUCCCUGAGAGAAGGAGCAGACGGCCCAAAGCAUGCCUCUAGUCGUAGCCCUAGAUGCUUUCACUUGAAGGGGGCUGUCGCCACAGCAUGGCAACUGACAGACGGAUGGUGUGGUUCCAAGACCGGGAAGCAAACCCAGGCCACUGAAGUGAUGCACAUGUUGCCUAUUCAAAAACAACUUUUGGAAAUCUAAAACAAAAACUCAGUUCUUUUUCAAAGAUGCUCACCAUUUCAUGUCAUGGAUCCCGUAUCCUAAUUUCACCUGUUUCAAUCAAAGUGUGAACUUAACCU